CCGGUACGCUGUAAGAGCACCAUUGAGAGCCAGUUGUUCCUUAGCUUCUGAUAGCUGGAAGAAAGACCGUUUGUGGCUUGUCUACUUUGGAGGCAAUGACUCAUAGCUUUGUCACUUCCACUUCUAGAGCAAUGUAGAACAUGGCAGAGCAGAAGUUCUACUUCAGCAAGAUCAGUGCUGGGAAGAAACUGCAUUUCACAGACCUUUGUGAGCCAUGUUCCCGAUAGGCUGUAAGAGCACUGUGGAGAGCGAGUUGUUUCUUAGCUUCCCAAAGACUGGAAGCAAGAUGCUUUGUGGCCUGUCUCCACUUGAGGAAACAAGGCAGGAAUUUGUGCCUUGCACUUCUAGGGCAACGUAGGGCACGGUAGGCCAGAAGUUCUACUUCAGCGAGAUCACGGCUGGGAAGAAACUGCGUUUCACAGGACCGUGUCAGAGAUCUCCCCGGAAGGCUGUAAGAGCACUGUGUAGAGCGAGUUGUUUCUUCGCUUUCCAAAGAUCAGGAAGCAAGAAGGUUUUUGGCUUGUCUCAUUUGGCUGCAAUGACUCAGUGCUUUAUGUCUUCCACCUCUAGAGCAAAUUAGGACACGGCUUAGAGAAGAAGUUCCAAGGCGGUGAGAUCAUGACUGGAAACAAACUGCAUUUCAGUCCUUUUUAUGAGAGGUUCCUGGUAGGCUGUAAGAGCCCUGUGGAAAGCAAGUUCUUUCUCACCUUGUGAAAGAGCUGGAAGGAAGAUGGUCUGUGGCCUGUCUCCUCUCAAUGAAGCCUGGCAGGCCAUUGUGACUUCCACCUCUAGUACAAUGUAUUACACGGUAGAGCAGAAGUUCCAGAUCAGCGAAAUCAGGGCUGGGAGGAAACUGCAUUUCACAGGCCUUUCUAAGACAUUUUCCACUGUAGGCUGUAAGAGCACUGUGGAGAGUGACUUGUUUCUUAGCUUCCCAAAGAGCUGGAAGCAAGAUGCUUUCGCGCCUCUCUGCCCUUGAGGAAACAAGGUGGGACUUUGUCCUUUGUAGCUCUAGGGCAAUGUGGGAGACGGCAGAGCCAAAGUUCUGCCUGAACGAGAUGAGGGAUGGGAAGAAACUGCGUUUCACAGGCCUUUGUAAGAUAUGUUCCCGGUAGGCUGUAAGAACACUGUGGAGAGCGAGUUCUUUCUUUGCUUCACAAAGAGCUGGAAGUAAGACCGUUUGUGGCUUGUCCCCUUUGUAGGCAAUGACUCUGGGAUUUGUGACUUCCACCUCUUGAGCAACGUAGAACACAGCUUAGAGCAGAUGUUCUAAGUAGGCGACAUGAGGGCUGGAUACAAACUCUGUUUCAGUUCUUUGUAUUAGAGGGUCCCGGUAGGCUGUAUGAGCCCAGGGGAAAGCAAGUUCAUUCCCACGUUGCCAAAGUGCUGAAAGCAAGAUUGUCUGUGGCCUGUCUCCCCUUGAGCAAACAAGGCAAUACUUUGUGCCGUGCAUCUCUAGGGCAAUGUCAGACAUGGCAGAGGAGAAGUUCUACUACAGCGAGUUCAGGGCUGGGAUGAAACUGCAUUUCACAGGCCUUUGUAAGAGAUGUUCCCAGUAGGCUGUAAGAACACUGUGGAGAGUGCAUUGUUCUUAGCUUCCCAAAGAGCUGGAAGCAAGACCGUUUGUGGCUUAUCUCCUAUGAAGGCAAUGACUCAGAGCUUAGUGACUUCCACCUCUAGAGCAAUGUAGGAUAUGGUUUGGAGCAGAAGUUCCAAGGCGACGUGAUCAGGGCUGGAAACAAACUGCGUUUCAGGACUUUGUAUGGGAGGUUCCCAGUAGGCUGUAAGAGCCCAGGGGAAAGCGAUGUCUUUCUCAAUUUACCAAAGAGCUGGAAGGAAGACGUUCUGUGGCCUGACUCCUCUUAAGGAAGUCAGGCAGGGCUUUGUGACUUCCACCUCUAGGGCAAUGUAUUACACGGCAGAGAAGAAGUUCUACUACAGCGAGAUCAGGGCUGGGACAUACUGCGUUUCACAGGAAUUUCUAAGAGAUGUUCCCGGUAGGCUGUAGAGCACUGAGGAGAGAGAGUUGUUUCUUAGCUUCCCAAAGAAGUGGAAGCAGGAUGCUUGUGACCUGUUUCCCCUUGAGGAAACAAGGCAGCACUUUGUGCCUUGCACCUCUAGGGCAAUGUAGGACACGGUAGAGCAGAUGUUCUACUUCAGGGAGAACGGUGCUGUGAAGAGGCUGCGUUUCACAGGCCUUUGUGAGACAUGUUGCAGGCAGGCUCUAAGAGCACUAUGGAGAGCGAGUUGUUUCUUCACUUCCAAAAGAGCUGAAAGCAAGACGCUUUGUGGCCAGUCUUCCCUUGAGGAAACAAGGGAGGACGUUGUGCCUUGGACCUCUAGGGCAACGUAGGACACAGCAGGGCAGAAGUUCUACUUCACGGAUAUCAGGGCUGGAAUGAAACUGUAUUUCACAGACCUUUGUAACACAUGU
rnacentral:lncRNA from 1 species